AGCCCCUCCCGUCCGGCCGCCGCCGCCACCGCCGCCGCCGCCGCCUGGGGGUUGGUUGAGGCGGACGGUGGGGUCCCGGCCGGAGUGUGGCGCCGCCGCUGCGCGAAGACGAAGCGGGCAGGUGACCUCAGACAGAGAAAGGACAUGAUCAUCCGGGAAGCUGAUCUUAACUCGGUGGUGCCUGAUAGAGGGCAGACACUGAAUAUAGGGAGGUUGCCGUGGCUGCUUGAAUGAAUCCUUGCAGUCAGAAAAUGGGUAAGAAGAGUCGAGUGAAAACUCAGAAAUCAGGUACUGGGGCUACAGCCACUGUGUCACCAAAGGAAAUUUUGAACCUGACAAGUGAGCUGUUGCAGAAAUGUAGCAGUCCUGCACCCAGCCCAGGGAAAGAAUGGGAAGAGUACACGCAGAUCCGGGCUCUGGUUGAGAAAAUACGGAAGAAGCAAAAAGGUCUGUCUGUUACUUUUGAUGGGAAAAGAGAAGAUUACUUCCCUGAUCUAAUGAAAUGGGCCUCUGAAAACGGGGCUUCUGUCGAGGGUUUUGAAAUGGUUAACUUCAAAGAAGAGGGCUUUGGUUUGAGAGCAACAAGAGACAUCAAGGCAGAAGAAUUAUUUUUAUGGGUUCCACGAAAGUUACUAAUGACUGUUGAAUCUGCUAAGAAUUCAGUAUUGGGGCCCCUGUAUUCUCAAGACCGAAUUCUCCAAGCUAUGGGAAACAUUGCACUGGCCUUUCAUCUGCUGUGCGAGCGAGCCAGCCCCAACUCUUUCUGGCAGCCAUACAUUCAGACCCUCCCCAGUGAAUAUGACACCCCUCUCUACUUCGAAGAAGAGGAAGUACGCUGUCUUCAGUCAACACAAGCCAUCCAUGAUGUCUUCAGCCAGUAUAAAAACACAGCACGCCAGUACGCCUAUUUCUAUAAAGUCAUCCAGACCCAUCCUCAUGCCAACAAACUGCCCUUGAAGGAGUCUUUCACUUACGAGGACUACAGGUGGGCCGUCUCAUCAGUUAUGACACGGCAAAACCAAAUUCCUACAGAGGAUGGUUCCCGGGUGACCUUGGCUCUGAUUCCUUUAUGGGACAUGUGCAAUCAUACCAAUGGCCUGCUCUCUCCAGGACAAGCAGAAGCAACCCUUGCUCUUCCCUGCCUGCCUCUAAUAGAAGCUGGGUGUCUCUUCAUACUGAAGACUGAAAACUCCAAUCUUAGAGCACUGUGAGAGACUGCGGCGACUGCGUUUGUAUGGUCUGAGCCCCAGCCCCAGCUCUCACAGUCAUUUCUUGUCUCACUGGACCACAGGCUCAAUGGGCCACUUUGCUUUUUAUUCUCUUACAAGUAGGAAUUUAUUGAAGAAAACCUUUCAUCUUUCUGUCUCUCUCUAUGGCUCUUUCUUUCUGUUCUCUGCUGACUCCUUUCGCCCCUUGCCCUGCUCUGUUCCUCGGCCACUAUGGUUUACCUGCUUUGCUCUGGAGCCUGUGUAUGGCAGGUGUGUGUGCUAGGCUCUGGGCACAAGUGCAGGGCUGCCUGGUGGCUGGCUGAGUGAAGACAGGAAGCGUCUUCCUGUGGCCAGUUCUGUAAGGGAAGAGGGCAAGUCCUGUUCCUCCACAUUCUUGGGUUCCAGAUGACAUGGGGCGGAAGCUUUCUCUGAUGAGGACUCACACAGGUGUGUGUGUUGGGGGGGGGGGGGGGUUGACAAACCCAGCUCAUUCUGAAGUUCUCAGCAUAGCUGGCCUGCAGGGUGAGUUGGGUUUGAUUCCUGUUCUGCAGUGCCAGCUUGCUUUGUUAUUAUUAGCAAUAUUAUAAAUAGAUUAAAGAAAUGCUGAAAGUGAUUAUUUUCCAUCUAUACAGAGGCCUGAGCACAUGCGCUGUGCAGCAAACACUCAAGGCAAAUUCCUCCUGCUAAUUCUGGUAGUCUUUCAGAUCUUCACAAUAUCUGAACUGUAGCUAGGAAGAAUUAUACUUUUAUAAUUACAUUUUGUCUUAAUUUAGAUAUGCUUAAUUUAAUUAGCAGGACUAAGAAAUAGUAGCAUGUUUUACACUUUCAUUAAUGCAUAUAAUUUUUAUAUUCUUUGUUCUUUUUUUUCCUUUAGAGAGAGACAUUUUUAAACUGAUAAGCUUGAAGUUUAAAUAUCUGACCCUUGUGUUUUCUUAUCCCUCUAUAGGAACUAGAUCACUAUUUCCCAAACUGAGUUGAUCAUUAAAAUUUAUUUUCAUUUCCAAUAUUAAAUAAUCAAAAAGAAUUAAAUAAUACAGAAGUCUCUAGUAAAAUAAAAUAAGCCACUCUUGUCCCCUGCAAUCCUAGUGUCCUCUGGAUUAUUAGCUGCACGGAAGGCUGCUGCAACUGAGGGUACUGUCCCACUCUCUUCUGUCUUUUGACUGUUUGUGGCACCCUUACAUACAUAUUCAUGGGUGUUCUGAGUUUGGGCAUUGGUGUUAUGUCCCUGCUGGUAUGGUAAAACUGUGCACUCUUGAGUUUAUCUCAAAUUAAGAAUAACAGAAAACUCUUGGUAUAUCUUUUUCUCUAAUGUAAUUUGUGUGUCCUGUAAUCUACCAUUGUUCUCUGCUAACCCUCAGAAAGGUUGUUCAAGAAGCCAAUAUGUCAUCCUUGUCCCACACACCUAACUGGAUACCUUAGUUGAUUUUUUUUCUGUUGCCAUGAGGUUUUAUGGGGCAUUGAGUGUGGCAGCAUUUAAGGAAUGCAGUUUCCAACUGUGAAGCUGCAUAUCUAUCAUACUCAUCACCAGUUAACCUCCUUUAAAAUGAGGUACUUGAACUCAAGGUUUGGCUUUUCAGGGAAAGGCUUUUAUUCUGUGUGUCUGUGUGGACUCUCCUGCCAUUAGACUCUCACAGGGGAACUGAGGAGAAAGGUGUAACCCACUAGUGCUGACUGCUUUCAACAGUACCGGACCCUAGGGACUCUCUGUGGUGGCAGCAAGGCAGAAGAAGUGCUGCCUAGGAUUCUGGUGAAUGGGAGUGAAGUCCUUUGCCCCUGGAGAAGCAGGUUUUAAGAUUUUCUUAGGCCCAUUCCUAAGCUAUAGGAAAUAUGUCUCUGUGUGAAUACUCUUGCAUGUAUACAUGUUCACAGGUUUGUGCAGGGGUGAGUGUGUGUGUGUGUGUGUGUGUGUAUGUGUACACUGUUAGUAUUGUGUGGAUGGAGGCCAGAGGUCAAGGCUGCAUGGCUUUCUCUAGUGUUCUCCCCCUCAUAUUUUGUUGGUUUGGUUUUUGGGUUUUUGAGACAGCAUUUCUCUGUGUAGCUCUGGCUGUCCUGGACCUUGAUCUGUAGACCAUGCUAGCCUUGAACUCAGAGAUCCACCUGCUUCUGCUCCCUAAAGGUGUGUGCUACCACCACCCAGCUCUACCUCAUAUUUUUGAGACAAGGUCUCACACAGUAACCCUGGAGCUUGCUACUUUCACUAGGUGGUCUAGAAGGUUUCCCUGACUUUGGCCCUCUGUGAGGGUGUGAAAGAUGCACACCACUGUGCUUGGGUUCUUUGUUUAUUUAACUUAACGUAAAUGCUAGAGAUCCAAUUCUUAUUCUUAUGCCUGCACAGCAAACAUUUUACCACCACACAGUUGCCCUCAUUUUACAAAUGUGUAUCUUUAAUCUUGCUGGAUCUGUCCAAAAUGAUCAGAGUUGAUGGAUUUUUUCCUGUCAGUUUACCUGAGAGGGUCUCUGCUAAGGGGUUUAUAGACAAUUGUGUGUGUUGUGGUGAGAGUAUCAUACAUGACUGUCAGUCAUUGUGGUAGAAAGCUUUCAGGGCCCUCUGAUUAACUGGUGAAAAUCCCCAAGAUACUUGGAAUCUCAGCUCAGAUCAAAACCCCAGUUUUCAUAAACAUGUACAGUCUCACCUACUUCUGACUUCUUGCUGUCCCUAAUCCCAGUACAGCCCCGUCAGUGCUUGUGCUUGCUGCUGCUCCUGCGAAGAACACUUGUUCCUCAGAUGCUCCUGACACUUAGAGUUAGUGUCAGGUUAGGCCAGCUACCCUGGGCGUUCUGUCACACAAUCCCCUCCUUAUCCUCUGUGACCUUCCUACAGUGCCCAUAUACUAUAGUUCCUUUGGGGUUUUUGGUAUGCUUUUUGUUUGUUUGUUUGUUUGUUUGUUUUGUUUUGUUGGUUUUGAACUUGCUAUGUAGUCACAGAUGGCUGGAACUCCUUCAGCUCUGAGUGCUGGAUUGCAGGUGGUACUUCACCUCACCGGCCUCCACCCAUUACUUUAGGAGGUUCGUUAUCUGUUGCUUUGAAGUGACAAGCAUAUACACUCUGGUCUAGGACAAAAGAGUAGGACACAUGGACACAGCUGUAAUCUGUUUCUUUAGUUUUUCCGCUGUCUUUUUCAAGUUGAAUCAACACGUAUGCAUAACGUCAUUCCUUCUUCAUACAUGAUGCAAAUAAUGGAUAUACUCUGAGGAAAUUGAAACAAAGAUGGAAAUGGUUAUGUCCUCUGUAUGUGUGAGGGAGUCAUGUGUCAUACUCUUUCUCCUGUGGUGCUGCUUAAUAGAUCACAACUGGCUAUAACCUGGAAGAUGACCGCUGUGAGUGUGUGGCUCUGCAGGACUUUCAGGCUGGAGAUCAGAUUUACAUUUUUUAUGGCACUCGGUCAAAUGCAGAGUUUGUGAUCCACAGUGGUUUUUUCUUUGACAAUAAUUCCCACGACAGAGUGAAAAUUAAGCUGGGCGUGAGUAAAAGUGACAGGCUCUACGCCAUGAAGGCUGAGGUCCUGGCUCGGGCUGGCAUCCCAACAUCCAGUGUUUUUGCGUUGCAUUCCACUGAGCCGCCCAUCUCUGCCCAGCUUCUAGCUUUUCUCCGAGUAUUCUGCAUGACCGAAGAGGAGCUGAAAGAGCAUUUGCUAGGGGACAGCGCCAUUGACAGGAUCUUCACUCUGGGGAACGCAGAGUUUCCUGUCAGCUGGGACAAUGAGGUCAAACUUUGGACAUUUCUGGAAGAUAGAGCCUCACUUCUUUUAAAAACAUAUAAGACAACAAUUGAGGAAGAUAAGAUCGUCUUGAAAAAUCCUGACCUCUCUGUCCGGGCCACAAUGGCCAUCAAAUUGCGCUUGGGUGAAAAGGAGAUUUUGGAAAAAGCAGUGAAGAGUGCGGCCGUGAACCGGGAGUACUACCGUAAACACAUGGAGGAGAGGGCACCACUGCCCAGAUACGAGGAGAGUGACCUGGGGCUCUUGGAGGGUGGUGUGGGGGACUCAAGGCUCCCUCUGGUCCUGAGAAAGUUGGAGGAGGAAGCAGGUGUGCAGGAGUCUCUGAGCCUCACAGAGACUGUCAGCAAAGUCAAGGCUGCUGAAAAUGGGCUUGUCAAUGGGGAAAACUUGAUCCCUAAUGGGACCAGGUCUGAAAAUGAAAGCUUAAGCCCAGAAGAAAGUGAAAACGUGACUGGAGAAGAGUCUUCAGGCAGCAUGGCCAAGGUGAAGGAGCGACUUUGAGAUGCUCAUGGAAUCCAGUCGAGCAGAAGUUUCGGACAGCCCACCACAUCACCAUGUUCCUUGUUAACAUUUUUCUUUUCGCAGAGAGGAAAAUAUGUUUUUGCUGCUUUAUAUAAAAGUGAUUUUUAAGUUAUUUUAAAGAUCUAGCUUCCCUAUUUGAUUAAGAUUGCCAUCUUGCUUUUGGGCAGAAAAAAGUAGUGAAUAGCAGCGGAGAAAAGAGGAGGCACCCUUGAAUGACUGCAGACCAGCUGUGGGCACUCGCUGCUCCUCCAGGAAAGGGUGAGGUCCGUGCUCAGCUAUGCUUGCAGGCCUGCUGUCCUCACUCCAGAAUGAGUGCUGGCUCUGCCUCUGGCUGCAGAGUUGAGGUUGGACUCUGGAGUGGAUGGUGGAGAUGAGGCACAGUGGAGAGAAAGCUGGGCUAGGCCAUUGAAAUAGAGGCUGGGUUUUUUAAUAAGAAUAUCCCCAGUACCAAAAGAAAAGGUGAGGUGGCAACCUGAUUUCUAAUGGCUUAAAAUGUUGAUGAUGAUCCUAAUUACAUAAACACACACAUAUAUCUAGUGAUUUCUAAGGAUUUGUUUACUUUUUGUGUUCUGUUUUGCUGUAUUAAAAACUUGUCCUUUUCCUUAAAUCAAAGUAGGACUCGAGUCCUCGUUUUUCACGCUGGCUUUGUUUCAGAGGUAUACUGACUCCAGUGGUGUCAGGAUGAGGUGGCCCCUGGCUUUCUGGUUCACAACAAGCUAGAGAUUUUCAAAGCUACCCUUUUGAGUAAAACCCCUUAUUAAAAGAGAAACCAUGA